GACGAACGCUGGCGGCGUGCUUAACACAUGCAAGUCGAACGGAAAGGCCCUGCUUUUGUGGGGUGCUCGAGUGGCGAACGGGUGAGUAACACGUGAGUAACCUGCCCUUGACUUUGGGAUAACUUCAGGAAACUGGGGCUAAUACCGGUUAGGAGCUCCUGCUGCAUGGUGGGGGUUGGAAAGUUUCGGCGGUUGGGGAUGGACUCGCGGCUUAUCAGCUUGUUGGUGGGGUAGUGGCUUACCAAGGCUUUGACGGGUAGCCGGCCUGAGAGGGUGACCGGCCACAUUGGGACUGAGAGACGGACCAGAAUGCAACGGGAGGCAGCAGUGGGGAAUAUUGCACAAUGGGCGGAAGCCUGAUGCAGAAACGCCGCGUGCGGGAUGACGGCCUUCGGGUUGUAAACCGCUUUCGCCUGUGACGAAGCGUGAGUGACGGUAAUGGGUAAAGAAGCACCGGCUAACUACGUG
rnacentral:rRNA from 1 species